rnacentral:rRNA from 1 species
GGAGCUUGCUCCUUUGACGUUAGCGGCGGACGGGUGAGUAACACGUGGGUAACCUACCUAUAAGACUGGGAUAACUUCGGGAAACCGGAGCUAAUACCGGAUAACAUUUGGAACCGCAUGGUUCUAAAGUGAAAGAUGGUUUUGCUAUCACUUAUAGAUGGACCCGCGCCGUAUUAGCUAGUUGGUAAGGUAACGGCUUACCAAGGCGACGAUACGUAGCCGACCUGAGAGGGUGAUCGGCCACACUGGAACUGAGACACGGUCCAGACUCCUACGGGAGGCAGCAGUAGGGAAUCUUCCGCAAUGGGCGAAAGCCUGACGGAGCAACGCCGCGUGAGUGAUGAAGGGUUUCGGCUCGUAAAACUCUGUUAUUAGGGAAGAACAAAUGUGUAAGUAACUGUGCACAUCUUGACGGUACCUAAUCAGAAAGCCACGGCUAACUACGUGCCAGCAGCCGCGGUAAUACGUAGGUGGCAAGCGUUAUCCGGAAUUAUUGGGCGUAAAGCGCGCGUAGGCGGUUUCUUAAGUCUGAUGUGAAAGCCCACGGCUCAACCGUGGAGGGUCAUUGGAAACUGGGAAACUUGAGUGCAGAAGAGGAAAGUGGAAUUCCAUGUGUAGCGGUGAAAUGCGCAGAGAUAUGGAGGAACACCAGUGGCGAAGGCGACUUUCUGGUCUGUAACUGACGCUGAUGUGCGAAAGCGUGGGGAUCAAACAGGAUUAGAUACCCUGGUAGUCCACGCCGUAAACGAUGAGUGCUAAGUGUUUAGGGGGGUUUCCGCCCCUUAGUGCUGCAGCUAACG